rnacentral:rRNA from 1 species
UACAGAGGGUGCGAGCGUUAAUCGGAAUUACUGGGCGUAAAGGGCGCGUAGGCGGAUUAUUAAGUUAGAUGUGAAAUCCCUGGGCUUAACCUAGGAACUGCAUCUAAUACUGGUAGUCUUGAGUGCGGUAGAGGAUAGUGGAAUUUCCGGUGUAGCGGUGAAAUGCGUAGAUAUCGGAAGGAACACCAGUGGCGAAGGCGGCUAUCUGGACUGACACUGACGCUGAGGCGACGAAAGCGUGGGGAGCAAACAGG